AUUCCUCCCUUUGGAUCAACUCUUUUUCACUGGAUCCCAGCACAGGACAGCGUUUGCCUCUCCCAGUUUCCCCUCUAGAGAAUGGCAGUGCCUGUAGCCCCAAAAAGGCACCAGGACCAGCUCUUCUCUUCUGGUGUGGGAGAUGCUCCAUCCCCUUAAUCCCCUCCUGGUCCCAGGAUGGCCCUGUCUCUCCUUUACUGGGGACCCCAAAAUUGCACAGAGCUCUCCAGAAGAGACUGAAACUUGGAGAAACUUUAGGAAACUUUGGUAGCUCCAGCAACGGCGGCAUCUGCACGCCCCGCCUGGAGCCAGGGCUGCCAGCAAUGCCAGAAAUUUGGGAAUUCUGGAGGCACCACAUUCCCCACUGGGCAUUCACUGGACCAACAGGAGGGUGAGAUAUCAGCUGGAAUAUCAGAGAGAAUGACCUUGGAGAAUAACUCAAUAGCCUCGGCAAAUCCGCCGCUUUUCCAGUGAAACAGAAUAAACAAAACCAGGUUGGUGGCUCAAGGUUUCUAAUUCCAAAAGAGCAGACUGAGAAAUUACAGAAACUAAUUAGUGGAGUCAACGUGAUUGAAGUGCCAGGGGACUGAGUGUGAAGGAGCUUUGGAAUCUGGAGUCAAGGCUUCAAAAUCUGUUUGAAGUGCGCCACAAACAAGGAGGCAGCAAUUUACAGGAAAUGGAAAUGGCUCUUCAACAUUUGCUUAAAACCCAAAUGAUCCAGAAGAAUCAGACAGCCAAAAGCGCCAGCUCUGACCUUUUCUGACUGAAAUUGUAACACAUCAUCCUAAAAUAACGUGGGUGUGAUGGAGAAUCACCUGCCCUGGGAUGAGUGCUGCUACACAGGGAUCCCUAAAGAGCUCUGAGCAGCUACAAAUGGGUGACACCAACCUGGCAAACCGUCCUGGAAAAGCAGCAAUAAAUCCGUGUUUCCAACAGGGCUGCUUCUGGAAAUCUCUCCAGAUACAAAGGAGCAAGGGUGUGGUGAAAUUCUCACACGUGGUGCUGAGUAUGUGAAGAAUUUCUUUGGAUUGGAUUUCUUACUUUGGAAUAUUUUAUUCUCUUCAUGAAAUCUUUUGGAGUAUGGAUUUUUUACAAGGCCUUCUUGAGAUUAUGUUGUCCACACUGCAGCCAAGCAUGAGUCAGUAUCAAUUCCAGUUGGAAAACUCCAAGACUGGAUGCAGAAGUACCAGGCACAGCCAAUGUCUCUGUUGCUGUUAGCCAAAACACAGAUCUAUAUAUAUAUUUUGCCUGAGAAGUACCAGAAUUUGGAUUUGUCUCUGUACAAAACUCUGGAAGGUCCCUCCCUGCUGUGGCCCAAACUGUUCAGCAGUGAAAGGAGCAUCUCUCUUGCUUUGAAAUGUCCCCAGAGAUGGAAAGUCCUGCAACCUGUAACACCUCCAUCAGCCAGGACUGAGCUUCCAUAGAAGAGAAGGUCAAUCCAUUUGUUCAUCCUCUGAAGAAAAUAUUACUAUGAGAAAAUGGGAAGAAACAUCUGGAGCUGAGUGUGAAUUCGAAGGCAGAAAACAAGGAAGAAAGCAGUUUUUCAGUGUGUCCUGUCUUCUAGUCUCUCCAAAAUGAAAAUCUCAAUAAGGAAAUAAA